GAUGAAGAACGUAGCGAAAUGCGAUAAGUAAUGUGAAUUGCAGAGUUUAGUGAAUCAUCGAAUCUUUGAACGCACAUUGCGCCCCUUGGUAUUCCAUGGGGCAUGCCUGUUCGAGCGUCAUUUGUACCUUCAAGCUUUGCUUGGUGUUGGGUGUUUGUCUCGCCUUUGCGUGUAGACUCGCCUUAAAAUAAUUGGCAGCCGGCGUAUUGAUUUCGGAGCGCAGUACAUCUCGCGCUUUGCACUCAUAACGACAGCGUCCAAAAGUACAUUUUACACUCUUGACCUCGGAUCAGGUAGGGAUACCCGCUGAACUUAAGCAUAUCAAUAAGCGGAGGA
rnacentral:misc_RNA from 1 species